GCGCGCAUUUUCCCCCUCGUAAUUUCGAAGAUUUGAUCCCUUGUUAAAAGCAAGUAAUUUAUUUUUAAGGGCAAUUUAUUUUUAAGUUAUAGCUUACAGCACAUGUAUCCAGUAGAAGGAAUAUCAAUGGUCUCGAAAGUGCGAAGCUAGGAAUUUCUGGAAGCCAAGUAGUAAGUUUUGUCCAGCAGACAGUGUGUUGAUUAUUAUUACUUAGCUGAAAAGUAAGGUGUCAUGUGUAUUGGUCUUCAUCACCUCAACUUUUUGCAACAAGAACGUCUAAUUUUAAAAAGAGAAAUUGUAGCAGCAGAUGCUUGUAAUCUGAACUGAAGCCUGAGCCGUUUUUUAAGUCCUCAAUAACAAUAGGUGCACCCAGAAAAGGUCGUGAGGUAUCAUUCUAAAGCUUGUUGUGAGUGAUACAAUGGAUAGACAUAAAAAGUGUCCCGACUAGUAUUUGGUCGAAACCUAAGAUCAAGAUAAUGGCUUCUCAAAGAAUAAGUUUCUACGUUGAAAUUUUGUGAAUACUUGGUGUAUUUUUCUAGUCUUAUAUAUAAAUAAGAUAAAAAAUAUAUAGGCAUUGUAUGAGACAAAGAAGAUGUCAAAUUUUUUGUAUGCCUGGAAAAUGAAACUGAAAAAAAUGGGAAACGACUACGUCAACAUAUCGUUCUAAAAGUUCUUUGUUGCAGUUAUCUAAGAGUCAGCGUUAUUCACUUUGAUCUGGGAAGUUGGAACUGUUAAAUUACUUGUCUUAAUGAUCAUCAGUAGAACAU